CCUACGGGAGGCAGCAGUGAGGAAUAUUGGUCAAUGGGCGGGAGCCUGAACCAGCGAAGCCGCGUGAGGGAAGAAGGUACAGCGUAUCGUACACCUCUUUUGUCAGGGAACAAAAGCGGGGACUAUUCCCCGGAUGAGGGUACCUGAAGAAAAAGCAUCGGCUAACUCCGUGCCAGCAGCCGCGGUAAUACGGGGGAUGCGAGCGUUAUCCGGAUGUAUUGGGGUUAAAGGGUGCGCAGGCGGCCUGUUAAGUCAGCGGGAAAAGCCCGGGGCUAAACCCCGGCGAGCGGUUGAAACUGGCGGGCUGGAGUUGGAGAGAGGUAGGCGGAAUGCGCGGUGUAGCGGUGAAAUGCUUAGAUAUCGCGCAGAACCCCGGUUGCGAAGGCAGCGUACCGGCUCCACACUGACGCUGAGGCACGAAAGCGUGGGUAGCGAACAGGAUUAGAUACCCCAGUAGUC
rnacentral:rRNA from 1 species